rnacentral:rRNA from 1 species
UUUAUGGAGAGUUUGAUCCUGGCUCAGGAUGAACGCUGGCGGCGUGCCUAAUACAUGCAAGUCGAGCGAACGGACGAGAAGCUUGCUUCUCUGAUGUUAGCGGCGGACGGGUGAGUAACACGUGGAUAACCUACCUAUAAGACUGGGAUAACUUCGGGAAACCGGAGCUAAUACCGGAUAAUAUUUUGAACCGCAUGGUUCAAAAGUGAAAGACGGUCUUGCUGUCACUUAUAGAUGGAUCCGCGCUGCAUUAGCUAGUUGGUAAGGUAACGGCUUACCAAGGCAACGAUGCAUAGCCGACCUGAGAGGGUGAUCGGCCACACUGGAACUGAGACACGGUCCAGACUCCUACGGGAGGCAGCAGUAGGGAAUCUUCCGCAAUGGGCGAAAGCCUGACGGAGCAACGCCGCGUGAGUGAUGAAGGUCUUCGGAUCGUAAAACUCUGUUAUUAGGGAAGAACAUAUGUGUAAGUAACUGUGCACAUCUUGACGGUACCUAAUCAGAAAGCCACGGCUAACUACGUGCCAGCAGCCGCGGUAAUACGUAGGUGGCAAGCGUUAUCCGGAAUUAUUGGGCGUAAAGCGCGCGUAGGCGGUUUUUUAAGUCUGAUGUGAAAGCCCACGGCUCAACCGUGGAGGGUCAUUGGAAACUGGAAAACUUGAGUGCAGAAGAGGAAAGUGGAAUUCCAUGUGUAGCGGUGAAAUGCGCAGAGAUAUGGAGGAACACCAGUGGCGAAGGCGACUUUCUGGUCUGUAACUGACGCUGAUGUGCGAAAGCGUGGGGAUCAAACAGGAUUAGAUACCCUGGUAGUCCACGCCGUAAACGAUGAG